rnacentral:rRNA from 1 species
UACGGAGGAUGCGAGCGUUAUCCGGAUUUAUUGGGUUUAAAGGGUGCGUAGGCCGCGUCUUAAGUCAGCCGUCAAAGCCCGGGGCUCAACCCCGGCCAGCGGUUGAAACUGGGAUGCUCGAGAGGAAGAGAAGUAUGCGGAAUUCGCGGUGUAGCGGUGAAAUGCUUAGAUAUCGCGAAGAACUCCGAUUGCGAAGGCAGCAUACCGGCUUCUGUCUGACGCUGAGGCACGAAAGCGUGGGGAUCGAACAGG